GAUGAACGCUAGCGGCAGGCCUAACACAUGCAAGUCGAGGGGUAGAAGUUGCUUGCAACUUUGAGACCGGCGCACGGGUGCGUAACGCGUAUGCAAUCUGCCUUGUACUGAGGGAUAGCCCAGAGAAAUUUGGAUUAAUACCUCAUAGCAUUAUGAAAUCGCAUGGUUUUAUAAUUAAAGUUCCAACGGUACAAGAUGAGCAUGCGUCCCAUUAGUUAGUUGGUAAGGUAACGGCUUACCAAGACGAUGAUGGGUAGGGGUCCUGAGAGGGAGAUCCCCCACACUGGUACUGAGACACGGACCAGACUCCUACGGGAGGCAGCAGUGAGGAAUAUUGGUCAAUGGGCGCAAGCCUGAACCAGCCAUGCCGCGUGCAGGAUGAAGCAUCUAUGGUGUGUAAACUGCUUUUAUACGGGAAGAAACACUCCUACGUGUAGGAACUUGACGGUACCGUAAGAAUAAGGAUCGGCUAACUCCGUGCCAGCAGCCGCCGUAAAAC
rnacentral:rRNA from 1 species